GGCGUUGCAUGGAGCGCCGUGCACGUGGUUUCGGUGCUGUAAAAUGCGAGCGAUUUGUCUUUGAUUGCAGUGGUUUGCGGGUUGUGGUGGAAGGCGAACGUUUGAUGGGCUGCAGUGGCCGGCGAAUGUUAUUACUUGUUACUUGUUUGACGAGCGUGGUAACUCAUCGGGACCUGCCGCCAUAACCGACACCGUGACGUGAAUGUGUGAUGGUCGGUCGGUGUCAGUGUGCUUCAAGUGUGGAUAAAAACUGCGAAAAGGCAGAGAAAGCCGGAAGAGCUUCUGGAAUGUUCGUCACUCGCGGUCCGCGGAGCUCAAGCAAAACUGCAAAAGAUGUGCCGAUAGACGGACUGCUGGGACACGGACUGAUCAGCUGGUGUUCCCGAUAUCGUCUGAGAACAUCUCACCCAGGUUCCCUCAGCGUGUUGGCCCGCCGAGAUACGACCCAUUUUGAGAGAUCACCUCAGCAGUCCACUGAUA